GACGAUCAGCCACACUGGGACUGAGACACGGCCCAGACUCCUACGGGGGGCAGCAGUAGGGAAUCUUGCGCAAUGGGCGAAAGCCUGACGCAGCAACGCCGCGUGGGGGAUGAAUGCCUUCGGGUUGUAAACCCCUUUCAGCAGGGACGAAAAUGACGGUACCUGCAGAAGAAGCUCCGGCCAACUACGUGUCAGCAGCCGCGGUAAUACGUAGGGAGCGAGCGUUGUCCGGAAUUAUUGGGCGUAAAGAGCUCGUAGGCGGUUCAGUAAGUCGGGUGUGAAAACUCUGGGCUCAACCCAGAGACGCCACUCGAUACUGCUGUGACUUGAGUCCGGUAGAGGAGUGUGGAAUUCCUGGUGUAGCGGUGAAAUGCGCAGAUAUCAGGAGGAACACCAGCGGCGAAGGCGGCACUCUGGGCCGGUACUGACGCUGAGGAGCGAAAGCAUGGGGAGCAAACAGGAUUAGAUACCCUGGUAGUCCAUGCCGUAAACGUUGGGCACUAGGUAUGGGAUCAUAUCAACGGAUUCCGUGCCGUAGCUAACGCAUUAAGUGCCCCGCCUGGGGAGUACGG
rnacentral:rRNA from 1 species